GAUGAACGCUGGCGGCGUGCCUAAUACAUGCAAGUCGAGCGAACAGACGAGGAGCUUGCUCCUCUGACGUUAGCGGCGGACGGGUGAGUAACACGUGGAUAACCUACCUAUAAGACUGGGAUAACUUCGGGAAACCGGAGCUAAUACCGGAUAAUAUAUUUAACCGCAUGGUUCAAUAGUGAAAGACGGUUUUGCUGUCACUUAUAGAUGGAUCCGCGCCGCAUUAGCUAGUUGGUAAGGUAACGGCUUACCAAGGCGACGAUGCAUAGCCGACCUGAGAGGGUGAUCGGCCACACUGGAACUGAGACACGGUCCAGACUCCUACGGGAGGCAGCAGUAGGGAAUCUUCCGCAAUGGGCGAAAGCCUGACGGAGCAACGCCGCGUGAGUGAUGAAGGUCUUCGGAUCGUAAAACUCUGUUAUUAGGGAAGAACAAAUGUGUAAGUAACUAUGCACGUCUUGACGGUACCUAAUCAGAAAGCCACGGCUAACUACGUG
rnacentral:rRNA from 1 species